rnacentral:rRNA from 1 species
GCGGAACACGUACGCAACCUUCCUUUAAGUGGGGGAUAGCCCGGGGAAACUUGGAUUAAUACCCCGUAAUACUAUGAAGUGGCAUCACUUUAUAAUUAUAGCUCCGGCGCUUAAAGAUGGGCGUGCGCCUGAUUAGGUAGUUGGCGGGGUAACGGCCCACCAAGCCUUCGAUCAGCAACUGGUGUGAGAGCACGACCAGUCACACGGGCACUGAGACACGGGCCCGACUCCUACGGGAGGCAGCAGUAAGGAAUAUUGGUCAAUGGACGCAAGUCUGUACCAGCCAUGCCGCGUGGAGGAUGAAGGUCCUCUGGAUUGUAAACUUCUUUUAUUUGGGAAGAAACCCACGAUUUCUAUUGUGGUUGACGGUACCAGAUGAAUAAGCACCGGCUAACUCCGUGCCAGCAGCCGCGAUAAUACGGAGGGUGCAAGCGUUAUCCGGAUUCACUGGGUUUAAAGGGUGCGUAGGCGGGCAGGUAAGUCAGUGGUGAAAUCUCCGAGCUUAACUUGGAAACUGCCGUUGAUACUAUCUGUCUUGAAUGCUGUGGAGGUAAGCGGAAUAUGUCAUGUAGCGGUGAAAUGCUUAGAUAUGACAUAGAACACCUAUUGCGAAGGCAGCUUGCUACACAGAAAUUGACGCUGAGGCACGAAAGCGUGGGGAUCAAACAGGAUUAGAUACCCUGGUAGUCCACGCCCUAAACGAUGGAUACUCGACAUCAGCGAUACACAGUUGGUUUCUGAGCGAAAGCAUUAAGUAUCCCACCUGGGAAGUGCGACCGCAAGGUUGAAACUCAAAGGAAUUGGCGGGGGUCCGCACAAGCGGUGGAGCAUGUGGUUUAAUUCGAUGAUACGCGAGGAAY